UUCCCGUGAAGAGGCGGGAAUGCACAAAUAAGACGAGAAGACCCUAUGGAGCUUUAACUAACCAACCCAAAGAGAAUAGAUUUAACCAUUAAGGAAUAACAACAAUCUCCAUGAGUUGGUAGUUUCGGUUGGGGUGACCUCGGAGAAUAAAAAAUCCUCCGAGCGAUUUUAAAGACUAGACCCACAAGUCAAAUCACUCUAUCGCUCAUUGAUCCAAAAACUUGAUCAACGGAACAAGUUACCCUA
rnacentral:rRNA from 1 species